UGGUAUAUUUAUUUAUUUUAUUUAUUACAUUUUAUAUCCCGCUCUUCCUCCAAGGAGCCCAGAGCGGUGUACUACAUACUUAGGUUUCUCCUCACAACAACCCUGUGAAGUAGGUUAGGCUGAGAGAGAAGUGACUGGCCCAGAGCCACCCAGCAAGUAUUUGGCUGAAUGGGGAUUUGAACUCGGGUCUCCCCGGUCCUAGUCCAGAACUCUAGCCACUACACCACGCUGGCUCCUAAAUAUUCAUAGUAGUCGUAUUUUUAUUUAUAUCCCACAGUUUAUCCCUCCAAGGACCUCAGGGCAACAUACUUGGGUUGCCCUCUUUUAUCCUCACAGCAACCUUGUGAGAGAUAGUGACUGCUCCUACGUUAGUGACUCCCACUGAGCUUCAUGGGUCUCUAGAGUCCCAGUCCAACGUAUGGUUGUUUGUAUGCAGGGUUUGAAACAAUUCAAAAGCACCUGCUUGCCAGAGAUGGAAGUAAGAUGAGUGUACAAACAUCACAAGCAGCGAUGGCGCUUUCCAGCGCUUUCCAGAUUACCUGCUACAACAGGGGUAAAAUGCUUCGGCUUGGCAGGAUCGUAUUGAAAAUGAUCCCCAGAAUCUCAAUUCCUACAACAGGAAAAUACAGCUACUUUUUUUGCAACGCAUAUGCAACAUUGUUGCACUAUAUUACAAAGAUAAAAUCCGAAAUAAGGCAUCGGAUUCGGAAAUGUGGACGGCACCUUGCUGACCGCACAAGGACCGAGGUGUCACAACACAGGAAGUACGGAAGCACACUUAGUAGAUACGUAGUGACAUUGUUGUAGCUUUUAAUCUGGAAAGUGCCUCAGACAACCUGAAAAACUGGAAGCACAAUGGUCCAGGCAGUCUUCUUGGUUAUUCUUAAAGGAAACAGCAGAGGGCAGUCCAGACAUUUGUUUAUUCCCAAGCAAAAAGUUUCCUAGAAGGCAUUUUCCCCCCUUUUGCUCCUUCAAUGGUUGGUAAAACAAGAAGAAAAAAACAUAAACCCACUUCUUAUUUUUGCUUAAUGCUUUCUUAUGAAACCACAGUUCACCGAUUCUAAUCUCACCAUAAACCUGUGAAGUAACCUGUGAAACCUGUGAAGUAAGAGACAGUGAACCAAGGCAAGCCAGGUGAACAGCUAUUCAAAUGAACUGGCAAGAGAUCAGAAAAUAACCUCUGAACUGAACAGUCUGGUCUAUGCCCUGAAAACGUACUCCUGUUCAAAGAUGCCUCCAAGAAAGAUGUAGUGUUCUCAAUGUUGACCAAACUGGAGCAGAGAAUUCAGCUCUUUUCCACCCAUCAGCAUGAAAAGGCUCUUCUCUGCUUCCCAGACUCCGACACAUCCAAAGUCUCCUUUCUUUCUUAGCAUUACCAGCCCCAUGGAAAAGCCGGGUCUGGGAAAAGGCCAGACAUCUGCAGCAGAGGGACACUAAUUUCUUCCCAGCACUCUCCUGCGCUCUGUGUUUGCCCUUCUCUCUGACAGACCCUCGGAGUGAGGAAGAUAAUGAAGAGCAUCGAGAGGGGUGGAGCUGGGGAGCCCGGGUUCUUUGAACCCCUUCGCUCAGUUAUAGCUACACCCCUGAGCCCAGCGUCAAAAGGGGAGCUUAUAGAUGGUGGAACUACAUGGAGAUGUCUAAUCUGACAUGUGCUAAGGGCCAAACCAGACAUGAUAAUAGAAGUUUUGCAACUGGAACUACUGGUGGUUCUUUUUUUUUCCCCCUUAAAGAAAGCGGCAGUGGGAGCGACCGAAUUUGAACUGGGGCUGUGGUGCGCAAAGUGGGGGAGAGGGGGGUCUAACCCUUUCCCUCCAUGCUGGUCCACAUCCAAAUUGACCCUCACAGCUGUGUGGUAUGUGUGUACUCUCACAAAUGGUACUUCUAUGCUUCCUCUCCACGGCUAAUAGCUCUGUCUGUGUGCCUUCCUGCUGCUGUUUUUGAGAGAGAAAACACUGGAGGGUUCUCAUAAUGGAACUCUUAUGUAACAUGUCAUAGGAACAUAGGAAGCUGCCAUAUACUGAGUCAGACCAUUGGUCUGUCUAGCUCAGUAUUGUCUUCAAAGACUGGCAGCAACUUCUCCAAGGUUGCAGGCAGGAAUCUCUCUCAGCCCUAUCUUGGAGAAGCCAGGGAAGGAACUUGGGGCCUAGAUGCUCUUCCCAGAGCAGCUCCAUCCCCUGAGGGGAAUAUCUUACAGUGCUCACACUUCUAGUCUCCCUUUCAAAUGCAACCAGGGCAGACCCUGCUUAGCUAAGGGGACAAGUUAUGAUUGCUACCACAAGACCAGUUCUCCUCUCCUAGCUCUCCUUGGCCCAAAUGUCAUUUGGGCCAAGCUAGUUGUUGUUUAAACCUGUCAGUGCUGCCUGUCAGUAACAGGUGGGCUUAAAUAUUCAAACAUGAAGUGACUGGAAGUAGACCUUUUAAGUCCCAAAACAUCUAGGAGGAGCCUGAUUCAACAUGGGUGUGUGUGAUGCAUGAUGAGAAAGGGUUAAUGCUUUGCCCCCAACCUAGGGUUGCCAUGUACCCUGGAAUUUAGGGUAGCCCCCAGAGUUUGGCUCCUCCACCCAGCUGCUAAAUUCCACCAAGAUUUACACGGAUUUCAAAUGUGCUGCCCGGAUUGCUGCCCGGAUUGAGCAGAGAAGGAAGGGAAAAUAAACAAAUCUGUCAAAUAAAUAAAAAAUGCAAAUUAGUUGCCACAUAAUAUGCAAAUUAGGUCACCUGGAUUUGGGAAGAUUGAAUAUGGCAACCCUACCCCCAAAAUUGUUUUUACACCAAAAAUCUCUCCCUUGAAGCAGCUAUUUGCUGCUGAAGCAACUAUUUGUGGAAAUAGCCUCUUGAGGGGCAAAUAGCUAUUUUGGGGGAGGGGGAAAAUGUGUUUUUUUAAAACCCAUGUUCCUGCUUCAUCCUUCAUCAACACAUAAACCCUUGCCCCCACACCCCCGGGGCUUUUUUGAGCCUUAAAAGGACCUGAGAGAAUAGACUGGCUUAAGAGAGGAGGUUUAUCUGACACCAAAGAGGAAAUCAACUGCACUGUAGAUGUCAACCACUGGACAUUCUGGUGAUUAAUGGGGAUUGUAAUUGUUGGGAUUUAUGUGUAUAUACAUUGUCUUUGUUCUUGCCGCUGAUAUAUGUAUAUCUGUGUAUAGGCUUGGGGUAGAGUUUAGAAUGUUUGCAUCAGUCAUCUGUAGACUGAUUGGUCAGUUUGUAAUUCUUACUGAAUCUUUCAGACCGUUAUUUUUCUGUUAGGAUGACCUUUCACUCAGUAGGACUAUUGUUUAUAAUCUUGGUUAUAGUUAAUAAACCUUAGUAACUUGGUUCA